rnacentral:rRNA from 1 species
UGCAGUCGAGCGGAGAAGGUAGCUUGCUACUGCUACCUAUCGGCGGACGGGUGAUAAUGCUUAGUAAUCUGCCUAUUACUGGGGGACGACAUCUCCUAAGGGAUGCUAAUACCGCAUACGUCCUACGGCAGAAAACCGGGGAUCUUCAGACCUUGCGCUAAUACAUGAGCCUGAGCCCGAUUAGCUAUAUGGUGGGGUAAAGGCCUACCCUCGCCACGAUCUGUAUCGCUACUGAGAGGAAGAUCCGCCACACUGGGACUGAAACACAGACCAGACUCCUACUCCAGGCAGAAGUGGGGAAUAUUGAACAAUGGGGUGAACCCUGAUCCAGCCAUGCCGCGUGUGUGUGUAAGGCCUUAUGCUUGUAAAGCACUUUAACCGAGGAGGAGGAUACUUUAAUUAAUACCUAUACCUAUUGGACGUUACUCGCAGAAUAAGCACCGGCUAACUCUGUGCCAGCAGCCGCGGUAAUACAGAGGGUGCGAGCGUUAAUCGGAUUUACUGGGUGUAAAGCGUGCGUACGCGGGUUAUUAAGUCGGAUGUGAGAUCCCCGACCUUAACUUGGGAGUUGCAUGCGAUACUGGCGAGCUAGAGUAUGUCACAGGAUGGGAGAAUUCCAGGUGUGUCGAUGAGAUGCGUGCAGAUAUGUCGGAAUACCGAUGGCGAGCGCAGCCAUCUGCCCUAAUACUGACUCUGACGUACGAGAGCAUGCGUGAGCAAACAGGAAUUAAAUACACCUGC